UCCCUCUUAGCUCAGUGGUAGAGCGCGUCACUAGUAUAGCAUGGGGCAAGAAGAAGAGUUUCAUGACGAGGUCAGUCGUUCAAGUCGGCUAGAGGGAA